GGAGAAAGAUGAGAGAGGUGAAUGCAAGAAUUAUAGUGGUAUAAGUUUGCUAAGUGUAGCUGGAAAGAUAUUUAUAAGAUUGUAAUUGAGAGAGAGAAGCAGGUGAUUGAUAAGAGAAUAUCAAAUGUUCAAUGUGGCUUCAGGAGUGAAAGAUGAUGUGUGGACCAGGUUUAUUUCAAAACAUAUAAUUGUGAAGAAAUAUCUUUGUGUAAAGAAAGUAUUCUGUGCUUUUGUAGAUCUUGAGAAGGCAUAUGACAGCAUGUAUAGAAGUAAUCUGCAGAAUAUGAGUAUCUGAGAAUAUGGUGUGAAUGAGCAUCAUCUUGGGGCAAUGAACCAUCAUCUGGUCUAUGCUACAAACAGCAUCCUAUGAUCACUAUUACAAACUCCUAUUAAUAAUCAGUACUACAUAUACAAUAUACAAAGGUGAAUUAUUUUUCGGAAACCGGUUUCCAUUGUUAAGUGGCAACAUCUUCAGUGUUGGUGCAUACCAACCAACAGGCAGGAUUGCUGCAGAGAUAACGUUGAGACAAGAGUAUAUGAUGUUUCUAUGAUUGUUUAAUGUAUACAUGGAUGCAUGGUAAGGGAAAUUGCUGUGAGUGAAUUAGGAGUGAAGAUUGAUGAUAAGAGUGUAUGCUGUCUGUUGUAUGCUGAUGAUAUUGUUCUUCUCUUCAAGAGUGAACAAGGUUUGAGAAUGCUUAUUGCACAGUUG
rnacentral:lncRNA from 1 species